GCCAAUGUGGUGUAGUGGUUUAAGCGCUGGACUACAACUCUGGAGACUAGGGUUCAAAUCCCAGCUCAGCCA